rnacentral:rRNA from 1 species
GACGAACGCUGGCGGCGUGCUUAACACAUGCAAGUCGAACGGAAAGGCCCUGCUUGCAGGGUACUCGAGUGGCGAACGGGUGAGUAACACGUGGGUGAUCUGCCCUGCACUUCGGGAUAAGCCUGGGAAACUGGGUCGAAUACCGGAUAGGAGCCAUCUUUAGUGUGAUGGUUGGAAAGUUUUUUCGGUGUAGGAUGAGCUCGCGGCCUAUCAGCUUGUUGGUGGGGUAAUGGCCUACCAAGGCGGCGACGGGUAGCCGGCCUGAGAGGGUGGACGGCCACCUUGGGACUGGGGUACGGCCCAGCCUCCUACGGGAGGCAGCAGUGGGGAAUAUUGCACAAUGGGCGCCAGCCUGAUGCAGCGACGCCGCGUGGGGGAUGACGGCCUUCGGGUUGUAAACUCCUUUCGCUAGGGACGAAGCUUUUUGUGACGGUACCUAGAUAAGAAGCACCGGCUAACUACGUG